CUCGUAGGCGGCUCCGUAAGUCAGAGGUGAAAGCCCACGGCUCAACCGUGGAUGCGCCUUUGAAACUACGGACCUUGAGUUCGGGAGAGGAAAGCGGAAUUCCAGGAGUAGCGGUGAAAUGCGUAGAUAUCUGGAGGAACACCAGCGGCGAAGGCGGCUUUCUGGCCCGAUACUGACGCUGAGGAGCGAAAGCUAGGGGAGCGAACAGGAUUAGAUACCCUGGUAGUCC
rnacentral:rRNA from 1 species